rnacentral:misc_RNA from 1 species
AACUGAUACUACCUGCGGGAACCUGCGGAAGGAUCAUUACUGAGUGAGGGCCCUCUGGGUCCAACCUCCCACCCGUGUUUAACGAACCUUGUUGCUUCGGCGGGCCCGCCUCACGGCCGCCGGGGGGCAUCCGCCCCCGGGCCCGCGCCCGCCGAAGACACCUGUGAACUCUGUCUGAAGUUGCAGUCUGAGAAACUAUUUAAAUUAGUUAAAACUUUCAACAAUGGAUCUCUAGAUCGG